AACCUUUGCAAAAAUUAAACUGGUUUCAGUUUUGCUCCCUGUUUGAUUUACAAAAUCACACCUGUUUAAAAAUACUCUGCAGCCGCCUACCUUCUUUUAGUCAUGCAUUUUGCAAAAAAACAUUUCUGCCAAAAGCUGCUGAAUUGAUGACACUCCAUGUGAAACUUAGGCAUCCUUUUGCUACAUAUUGGCCAAUAAGAAUUAAAGUAGUGAAAGCAAACUCUCCAGGUUGUGUGUGUGUUCAUAAGUGAAAGAUUUAUGUGGGGAGGACCCAGAAGGCAGGAGAAAUGUCUGAGACCUCACAGAUCAGCACCCCACCCAGGGAUUUAAAAGAUAUCUGUGUACUGGCAACAACUUUCAACAGAGUAAUCCAUCAGCAAUGAAGAAAAAUAGCUAAAAAUGGUACUUUCUUUUACAAAUAACUUCUCUUUGUUUCACUUGUCACAGUUGUGAAUGAAAGACCCACACUUUCUUACCUGAUAAGCUUCCUGCUUUAUUACAAUUGCUGUUUAUUCACCUCUUUAAUUAUCUGUCUUGAACCUUUCUCAUUCUUGGGUUGUAAAUUUGUGAGAAGCUGAAAAGUAAAAGUUCUAACCCAUUUUAUAUGUGAAUAAUUGUGGAAUCUUAUCAUUAAAAUACAAUUUAUCAGCAAA